GGGGAAUAUUGCACAAUGGGCGAAAGCCUGAUGCAGCAACGCCGCGUGAGUGAUAACGGUCUUCGGAUUGUAAAGCUCUGUCUUUUGGGACGAUAAUGACGGUACCAAAGGAGGAAGCCACGGCUAACUACGUGCCAGCAGCCGCGGUAAUACGUAGGGUGCGAGCGUUAAUCGGAAUUACUGGGCGUAAAGCGUGCGCAGGCGGUUUUGUAAGACAGAGGUGAAAUCCCCGGGCUCAACCUGGGAACUGCCUUUGUGACUGCAAGGCUAGAGUACGGCAGAGGAAAGCGGAAUUCCUAGUGUAGCGGUGAAAUGCGUAGAGAUUAGGAAGAACAGCAGUGGCGAAGGCGGCUUUCUGGACUGUAACUGACGCUGAGGCAUGAAAGCGUGGGGAGCAAAC
rnacentral:rRNA from 1 species